GCAUUUGGAUUUGUGACAACUUGGGAAGUGCAGGGGUGAGGAGUUGGGAAGAGAUGAUGGUGUCCUGGCCAUUCUUUUUCCAGAGCUCCAGGGUGGUGACCUGAGGGAGGGAGCUGUCUGCUUCCCUUGAGGCCGAUGACCUGUGCCAUUCUUGACCAUCCCCUCACCAAGAGGAACUGAGACUGGUGCUGUGAGGAUUGCGGCCAAGCCCAGUCUCUGCCUCCUUGACACAUAUUUUUCUCCAUCCAAUUUACCUUGGCACGAAGGAUAAUUCAUGGGAUCUCUGUCGCCAGGCUGGCGUGCAGUGGCGCUAUCUUGGCUCAAUGCAACCUCUGCCUCCUGGAUUCAAGCGAUUCUCGCUCUUUGGCCUACCAAGUAGCUGGGAUUACAGGCGCCCACCACCACGUCCAACUAAUUUUUGUAUUUUUAGUAGAGAUGGGGUUUCACCAUGUUGGCCAGGCUGGUCUCGAACUCCUGACCCCAGGUGAUUCGCCCGCUUCAGCCUCCCAAAGUGCUGGGAUUCAGGCGUGAGCCACCGAGCCCGGCCCCUAAAACGCCUCUUUCUUUUGGGUCCUGCCAAAGCCCAGAUUCUCCAUUGGGAUCGCCAGAAGUGAUGGCACUCAUUCUAUUUCUGUCACAAAUGUUUGGAUCAGAAGCCACAGUGAAAACGAGAAAGCAAUCCUCCAGGAAAUGUUCUUCACUUCGGGACAUCA